rnacentral:rRNA from 1 species
AUGAAGAAUAAUAAGGCUCCUGGCCCGGAUGGUUUCCCGGCAGAGUUCUACAAGAAGUGUUGGCACAUUAUUAAAGGAGAUCUAUUGCCUUUAUUCAAUGAUCUAUUCUCUGGCCAGCUUCACCUUUUUCAGCUGAAUUUUGGAACGAUAACACUUCUUCCCAAGAAGACAGAGGCAGUGCGGAUUGAGCAAUUCCGGCCAAUCUGUCUUUUUAAUGUUAGUUUCAAAAUUUUUACCAAGGUCGGGACGAAUAGGCUCACACAGAUUGCGCAUACCGUAGUGCAGCCUACUCAAACUGCUUUCCUGCCGGACAGGAACAUUCUUGAAGGGGUGGUGGUACUGCACGAAACGCUCCAUGAGAUUCACACGAAAAAACUGGAUGGAGUGGUUUUUAAGGUGGAUUUCGAGAAAGCGUACGAUAAAGUCAAAUGUCCUUUCCUUCAACAGGCAUUAUGCAUGAAGGGUUUUGAUGAAGCUUGGCGACGCCAAGUAGAAUCCUUCACGCAAAAAGGGAGUGUUGGAAUUAAAGUGAAUGACGAUAUAGGUCAUUAUUUCCAGACACACAAGGGCCUCAGACAAGGUGAUCCAAUGUCUCCUAUUCUGUUCAAUAUUGUCGUUGAUAUGUUGGCAAUCUUGAUAGGUCGGGCAAAGGAGGCCGGACAAGUAGGUGGCUUGGUGCCUCAUCUAGUUGAUGGUGGUGUGUCCAUCCUACAGUACGCCUAUGAUACAAUCAUCUUUAUGGAGCACGACUUGGCUAAGGCGAGAAAUAUGAAGCUGGUACUAUGCCUUUUCGAGCAAUUGACCGGUCUGAAGAUUAACUUCCAUAAAAGCGAGUUGUUCUGUUUUGGUGGAGCCAAAGAGGAACAAGAUGCAUACAAGCAACUAUUUGGUUGCGAAUUGGGGGCUCUACCGUUCACUUAUCUAGGAAUCCCCAUUCACCAUCGUAAGUAG